CACAAAAAUGCACAUACUGUGAGCUCGAUGAGUAGGGCGGGACACGUGGUAUCCUGUCUGAAUAUGGGGGGACCAUCCUCCAAGGCUAAAUACUCCUGACUGACCGAUAGUGAACCAGUACCGUGAGGGAAAGGCGAAAAGAACCCCGGCGAGGGGAGUGAAAAAGAACCUGAAACCGUGUACGUACAAGCAGUGGGAGCACAGAGCAAUCUGUGUGACUGCGUACCUUUUGUAUAAUGGGUCAGCGACUUAUAUUCUGUAGCAAGGUUAACCGAAUAGGGGAGCCGAAGGGAAACCGAGUCUUAACUGGGCGUUAAGUUGCAGGGUAUAGACCCGAAACCCGGUGAUCUAGCCAUGGGCAGGUUGAAGGUUGGGUAACACUAACUGGAGGACCGAACCGACUAAUGUUGAAAAAUUAGCGGAUGACUUGUGGCUGGGGGUGAAAGGCCAAUCAAACCGGGAGAUAGCUGGUUCUCCCCGAAAGCUAUUUAGGUAGCGCCUCGUGAAUUCAUCUCCGGGGGUAGAGCACUGUUUCGGCAAGGGGGUCAUCCCGACUUACCAACCCGAUGCAAACUGCGAAUACCGGAGAAUGUUAUCACGGGAGACACACGGCGGGUGCUAACGUCCGUCGUGAAGAGGGAAACAACCCAGACCGCCAGCUAAGGUCCCAAAGUCAUGGUUAAGUGGGAAACGAUGUGGGAAGGCCCAGACAGCCAGGA
rnacentral:rRNA from 1 species